rfam:Dipodomys ordii contig_65619, whole genome shotgun sequence.
GGUGGCUCAGUGGUAGAGUGCUUGCCUUGCAUGCAUGAGGCCCUGGGUUCGUUUCCUCAGCACCA